rnacentral:misc_RNA from 1 species
UGUCCGCCCUUGGGCUCCCUGCUUUGUGCAGCGAACCAUGUGCACACGCUCCUCUUCAUUAAUGUCCGAGGAAGUUCAUUGCUCCCUCGGCGCCUAGACGGUUCCCGUGUUUUGUACCCAGCAAAUAAAGUGGAAGAUGCUAUCGUAAGUUUAAUGGUUUGCUCCAAACCGACCUAGCUCGGCGCGGAGCAACUUGACCGUGGGUCUUGUGAAGCCAGCUCCAGCGGCCUCGCUCGGAGCUUGGUUAACGAUUCUCCAUGUGCUCCAGGGUGCGGUGAACAUGGUUGGGGCCGGGUUUUCACCUACUCGGCCAAAAAGCAUUUUUUGCCGGUUAAGAUAGACAGCCGUGCCCACGCCGUGCGUUCCCUGGCCAGUCCAGCAGAAUGGCGGGGUGGCGCCGGUGUCGCAAAGGAAUGCUAC